CCUACGGGUGGCAGCAGUGGGGAAUAUUGGGCAAUGGGCGCAAGCCUGACCCAGCAACGCCGCGUGAAGGAAGAAGGCUUUCGGGUUGUAACCUUCUUUUAAGAGGGAAGAGCAGCUGCCGGUACCUCUUGAAUCAGCCACGCCUAACUACUUGCCAGCAGCCGCGGUAAUACGUAGGUCGCAAGCGUUGUCCGGAUUUACUGGGUGUAACGGGCGUGCAGCCGGGAAGACAAGUCAGUGGUGAAAUCCCCGGUCUCAACCGCGGGACUGCAUUUGAAACUGUCGUUCUUGAGUACGGGAGAGGUCAUCGGAAUUCCUGGUGUAGCGGUGAAAUGCGUAGAUAUAAGGAAGAACACCAGUGGCGAAGGCAGAUGACUGGACGGCAACUGACGGUGAGGCGCGAAAGCGUGGGGAGCAAACAGGAUUAGAUACCCGUGUAGUC
rnacentral:rRNA from 1 species